rnacentral:rRNA from 1 species
AUUGAACGCUGGCGGCAGGCCUAACACAUGCAAGUCGAGCGGAGCGGCGGACGGGGGAGUAAUGCCUAGGAAUCUGCCUGGUAGUGGGGGAUAACGUCCGGAAACGGGCGCUAAUACCGCAUACUAUCAGAUGAGCCUAGGGCGGAUUAGCUAGUUGGUGGGGUAAAGGCCUACCAAGGCGACGAUCCGUAACUGGUCUGAGAGGAUGAUCAGGCACCCUGGAACUGACACACGGUCCAGACUCCUACGGUAGGCAUAGUUGGGGAAUAGUGGACAAGGGGCGAAAGCCUGAGCCAGCAAUGCCGCGUGUGUGAAGAAGGUCUUCGGAUUGUAAAGCACUUUAAGUUGGGAGGCGUUACCAACAGAAUAAGCACCGGCUAACUUCGUGCCAGCAGCCGCGGUAAUAC